AAGUUUGACAGUUUGGCGCGGAAGAAUGACAGAUGUAAACACACAACAUUUUAUUUUGAUUUCUUUACCAAAUCUGAUUUUCUAAUUUAUUACUUCGGAAUUGAAAUUCUGGUAAUUAUUACAGUGUUUACUCUUAUAAAUUAAAAGUGGUGGAAUCUGGAUUGCCUCAAUUUAGUUUUACAGACUCAUUCUCACAAAGGUUGUGAACAGCAAGGCAAGACGUUUUUAUAGAUUACACACAUUUCGGAAGAAUAAACCACGUAGAUUGAAAACUAGAAAUUGUGAUUGAGUAAUCUGAAUCUUGUAACAUCGAAAUAGUGGUCCAUAUCAUAAAUAACAAUCUGCUGAUAUUUCAAACUAACAUUUUCAUGUUUGAGUAAAGGGAACCUUGAAAUACUAACCAGAUUUAACAUUCUGCUGCAUCAAGUUGAUGACCAAGAUUAUAUGUGGCAGUUUGCACUUCUCUGCACUAAUUAUCAUGCGUCAUCAACACACUCCUAAUGGACUUAACCAAAAGAAAUAACUCAAUCUUCUCAACUGGUGUAUGGAGUUAUACAUCUUAUGAUUAUAGAGAUGUGUUUGAUUCAACAGUUGCUGUUUAUUAAUAUAUUUAAUUAAAUGCUUGUACAUUUUUAUUGCACAUUUAUUGAAAGGUUUUGUAAGCUUUAUAAUAUUUAUAAGUUCUGUAUUAACUUGUAUGUGUUAAACAUUUGGUAUAUUUUUAAGUAUGCUUUGCUGUUUUAAUGAAUAAUUAAUCAUUAAUGGUGUGAAAAUAUAUUCCAAUUUACUUUA